rnacentral:rRNA from 1 species
GAUGAACGCUAGCGGCAGGCUUAACACAUGCAAGUCGAGGGGUAUUUCUCUUCGGAUAGAGAGACCGGCGCACGGGUGCGUAACGCGUAUGCAAUCUACCUUUUACAGAGGGAUAGCCCAGAGAAAUUUGGAUUAAUACCUCAUAGUAUAUAGACUCGGCAUCGAGAUUAUAUUAAAGUCACAACGGUAAAAGAUGAGCAUGCGUCCCAUUAGCUAGUUGGUAAGGUAACGGCUUACCAAGGCUACGAUGGGUAGGGGUCCUGAGAGGGAGAUCCCCCACACUGGUACUGAGACACGGACCAGACUCCUACGGGAGGCAGCAGUGAGGAAUAUUGGACAAUGGGCGCAAGCCUGAUCCAGCCAUGCCGCGUGCAGGAUGACGGUCCUAUGGAUUGUAAACUGCUUUUAUACGAGAAGAAACACUGCUACGUGUAGCAGCUUGACGGUAUCGUAAGAAUAAGGAUCGGCUAACUCCGUG